rnacentral:rRNA from 1 species
AUGCAGUCGAGCGGAACGAGAAUAGCUUGCUAUUCGGCGUCGAGCGGCGGACGGGUGAGUAAUGCCUGGGAAAUUGCCCUGAUGUGGGGGAUAACCAUUGGAAACGAUGGCUAAUACCGCAUAAUGCCUUCGGGCCAAAGAGGGGGACCUUCGGGCCUCUCGCGUCAGGAUAUGCCCAGGUGGGAUUAGCUAGUUGGUGAGGUAAAGGCUCACCAAGGCGACGAUCCCUAGCUGGUCUGAGAGGAUGAUCAGCCACACUGGAACUGAGACACGGUCCAGACUCCUACGGGAGGCAGCAGUGGGGAAUAUUGCACAAUGGGCGCAAGCCUGAUGCAGCCAUGCCGCGUGUAUGAAGAAGGCCUUCGGGUUGUAAAGUACUUUCAGCAGUGAGGAAGGGUGUGAAGUUAAUAGCUUUAUAUUUUGACGUUAGCUGCAGAAGAAGCACCGGCUAACUCCGUGCCAGCAGCCGCGGUAAUACGGAGGGUGCGAGCGUUAAUCGGAAUUACUGGGCGUAAAGCGCAUGCAGGUGGUUUGUUAAGUCAGAUGUGAAAGCCCGGGGCUCAACCUCGGAACCGCAUUUGAAACUGGCAGGCUAGAGUACUGUAGAGGGGGGUAGAAUUUCAGGUGUAGCG